UACGGAGGGUGCAAGCGUUGUCCGGAUUUAUUGGGUUUAAAGGGUGCGUAGGCGGCUCUUUAAGUCAGUGGUGAAAUCCUACAGCUCAACUGUAGAACUGCCAUUGAUACUGGAGAGCUUGAGUACAGACGAGGUAGGCGGAAUUUAUGGUGUAGCGGUGAAAUGCAUAGAUACCAUAAAGAACACCUAUAGCGAAGGCAGCUUACUAGACUGUAACUGACGCUGAGGCACGAAAGCGUGGGGAGCGAAC
rnacentral:rRNA from 1 species